rnacentral:rRNA from 1 species
UCCGUAUAACAAUACUCCGAGAACUGAAAGGCUUUUUGAAGUCUUCGGAUGGAUAGAAGAACCCCUGAUGCCGUCGAGCCAAGAAAAGUUUCUAAGUUUAGCUAAUGUUGCCCGUACCGUAAACCGACACAGGUGGGUGGGAUGAGUAUUCUAAGGCGCGUGGAAGAACUCUCUUUAAGGAACUCUGCAAAAUAGCACCGUAUCUUCGGUAUAAGGUGUGGUUAGCUUCGUACUAGGAUUUACUCCGAAAGCGAAGAAACUUACAACAAAGAGUCCCUCCCGACUGUUUACCAAAAACACAGCACUCUGCUAACUCGUAAGAGGAUGUAUAGGGUGUGACGCCUGCCCGGUGCUCGAAGGUUAAUUGAUGGGGUUAGCAUUAGCGAAGCUCUUGAUCGAAGCCCGAGUAAACGGCGGCCGUAACUAUAACGGUCCUAAGGUAGCGAAAUUCCUUGUCGGUUAAAUACCGACCUGCAUGAAUGGCGUAACGAGAUGGGAGCUGUCUCAAAGAGGGAUCCAGUGAAAUUGUAGUGGAGGUGAAAAUUCCUCCUACCCGCGGCAAGACGGAAAGACCCCGUGGACCUUUACUACAGCUUGACACUGCUACUUGGAUAAGAAUGUGCAGGAUAGGUGGGAGGCUUUGAGUAUAUGACGCCAGUUGUAUAUGAGCCAUUGUUGAGAUACCACUCUUUCUUAUUUGGGUAGCUAACCAGCUUGAGUUAUCCUCAAGUGGGACAAUGUCUGGUGGGUAGUUUGACUGGGGCGGUCGCCUCCCAAAUAAUAACGGAGGCUUACAAAGGUUGGCUCAGAACGGUUGGAAAUCGUUCGUAGAGUAUAAAGGUAUAAGCCAGCUUAACUGCAAGACAUACAAGUCAAGCAGAGACGAAAGUCGGUCUUAGUGAUCCGGUGGUUCUGUGUGGAAGGGCCAUCGCUCAAAGGAUAAAAGGUACCCCGGGGAUAACAGGCUGAUCUCCCCCAAGAGCUCACAUCGACGGGGAGGUUUGGCACCUCGAUGUCGGCUCAUCGCAUCCUGGGGCUGGAGCAGGUCCCAAGGGUAUGGCUGUUCGCCAUUUAAAGCGGUACGCGAGCUGGGUUCAGAACGUCGUGAGACAGUUCGGUCCCUAUCUGCCGUGGGCGUAAGAAGAUUGAAGAGAUUUGACCCUAGUACGAGAGGACCGGGUUGAACAAACCACUGGUGUAGCUGUUGUUCUGCCAAGAGCAUCGCAGCGUAGCUAAGUUUGGAAAGGAUAAACGCUGAAAGCAUCUAAGCGUGAAGCCAACUCUAAGAUGAAUCUUCUCUAAGCUCUCUAGAAGACUACUAGUUUGAUAGGCUGGGUGUGUAAUGGAUGAAAGUCCUUUAGCUGACCAGUACUAAUAGAGCGUUUGGCUUAUCUUU